GUAUCUUCGGAUAUGAGUAGAGCGGCGGACGGGUGAGUAACGCGUAGGAAUCUACCUAGUAGAAGGGGAUAGCCCGGGGAAACCCGGAUUAAUACCGUAUACCUCCUUCGGGAGAAAGAAGGCCUCUCUUUGAAGCUUUCGCUACUAGAUGAGCCUGCGUAAGAUUAGCUUGUUGGUGAGGUAAAGGCUCACCAAGGCAACGAUCUUUAGCUGGUCUGAGAGGACGAUCAGCCACAUUGGGACUGAGACACGGCCCAGACUCCUACGGGAGGCGGCAGUGGGGAAUAUUGGACAAUGGGCGCAAGCCUGAUCCAGCCAUACCGCGUGUGUGAAGAAGGCCUUCGGGUUGUAAAGCACUUUAAGCAGGGAGAAAAAGUUAUAAGCUAAUACCUUAUAACCUUGAUGUUACCUGCAGAAUAAGCACCGGCUAAUUCCGUGCCAGCAGCCGCGGUAAUACGGAAGGUGCAAGCGUUAAUCGGAAUUACUGGGCGUAAAGCGCGCGUAGGUGGUUUGUUAAGUUGGAUGUGAAAGCCCUGGGCUCAACCUA
rnacentral:rRNA from 1 species